rnacentral:rRNA from 1 species
UUGGAGGGCAAGUCUGGUGCCAGCAGCCGCGGUAAUUCCAGCUCCAAUAGCGUAUAUUAAAGUUGUUGCAGUUAAAAAGCUCGUAGUUGAAUUUCGGGAUCAAAUUGUCGGUCGUGCCUCGGUACGAACUGGUAUUAUUGGUUCCUACCUUCUGAAGAACCGCGAUGUCAUUAAUUUGGUGUCGUGGGGAAUCAGGACUGUUACUUUGAAAAAAUUAGAGUGUUUAAAGCAGGCUUACGCUUGAAUACAUUAGCAUGGAAUAAUGAAAUAGGACGUUUGAUUCUAUUUUGUUGGUUUCUAGGAUUGACGUAAUGAUUAAUAGGGAUAGUUGGGGGCAUUAGUAUUCAAUUGUCAGAGGUGAAAUUCUUGGAUUUAUUGAAGACUAACUACUGCGAAAGCAUUUGCCAAGGAUGUUUUCAUUAAUCAAGAACGAAAGUUAGGGGAUCGAAGACGAUCAGAUACCGUCGUAGUCUUAACCAUAAACUAUGCCGACUAGGGAUCGGAUGAUGUUAAUUUUUUAAUGACCCAUUCGGCGCCUUACGGGAAACCAAAGUGUUUGGGUUC